CAACCAGAUUCGAAACAAUGUGAUUUUUAUGUGAUGAGAUAUAUGAGAGAUAUUAUUGAAGAAGUGGAAACUAUCGAGAGAGAUUCACUUCGAUCAAUAUUCAUCAAAACGCAGUACUCUAAAGAAGAAAUUGAUGAAGUGCGUUCCGAGUGGGCAGAAUGCAUACAAGACUAUAUUUAUGACUAG